rnacentral:rRNA from 1 species
GACGAACGCUGGCGGCGUGCCUAAUACAUGCAAGUGGGACGCAAGGAAACACACUGUGCUUGCACACCGUGUUUUCUUGAGUCGCGAACGGGUGAGUAACGCGUAGGUAACCUGCCUAUUAGCGGGGGAUAACUAUUGGAAACGAUAGCUAAUACCGCAUAAUAUUAAUUAUUGCAUGAUAAUUGAUUGAAAGAUGCAAGCGCAUCACUAGUAGAUGGACCUGCGUUGUAUUAGCUAGUUGGUAAGGUAAGAGCUUACCAAGGCGACGAUACAUAGCCGACCUGAGAGGGUGAUCGGCCACCCUGGGACUGAGACACGGCCCAGACUCCUACGGGAGGCAGCAGUAGGGAAUCUUCGGCAAUGGACGAAAGUCUGACCGAGCAACGCCGCGUGAGUGAAGAAGGUUUUCGGAUCGUAAAGCUCUGUUGUAAGUCAAGAACGUGUGUGAGAGUGGAAAGUUCACACAGUGACGGUAGCUGACCAGAAAGGGACGGCUAACUACGUG